ACGCUCGACACCUACGGGAGCAGCAGUUGGGAAUAUUGGACAAUGGAGGAAACUCUGAUCCAGUGACGCCGCGUGAAGGAAGAAGGUCUUCGGAUUGUAAACUUAUUUUGUCAGGGAAGAAAAAUGACUGUACCUGAAGAAAAAGCACCGGCUAACUACGUGCCAGCACGCCGGACGGUAAUCUGAGGCGGGCUGGACGAAGGC
rnacentral:rRNA from 1 species